AAAAGAAAAAAAAAAAAAAAAUCUGACGAGGUUUCGUCAUUUGGUCACCAACUAAACUUUCACAUUUGGUCACCAACCCGCCAUCCCCAAUCUAAGGCAGAAAUUCACGAUCAACCAUCCAUAUUUUACCGUCAUUCACAUCCGCUACGCAAUAUACCAACUCUACAAAAGAGUCUUGCCGAUAGAUGAAAAAAAUUAAGGUUGCUACUUAACUUCCUUCCCAGCUGUUAGCUGCUCCUCAAGAAGUUGGGAGGGCCAAGAAUCUGCAGGUGUUGGAUACCUAGCAUGUGGUUUACUCACAUUUGUAGUAGUCAAUGGAUAAGCUUGCAGAUCAGGAUGGAAGGGGACGACAAAGAGAUGGGGUGCUUGCUGUAAUGUAGCAUCUGAUGCAGGCAACCCCAGAGACUCUCCUGGAAAAUGUGGUGUCAAUCCAGGAUGGUGAAACUCGGGAGGAGGCACAUUCAGGUCAGGUUUUGAUUGGGCCACCCUUGUUUCCAGCUCAUUUUGCAAUCCCUCAAUCUGAGUUUCUAAAGCAGAGUUUUCUUCCUUCAGCUCAUUCUUCUCAAUUGUUACAUAGUGAGAUUCAGAUAAUAGAGAUACGUUCUCCUUCUUGAGGCGCUCAAUCAGUCCAAGCACGUCCUUCAACAAUCUAGUAGCUUCAGACAGUACAGUGGCCUUCCCAUUAUUUGGCUGAGUCAGUUCAAGAGCACUGGCUAGCUCAAGGAAGAGCUCAUUUAAUUGCUCACGCUUCAGUUUUUCCCUCUCAGCCUUGUGAAUUCUCUUGGGAACUUUCCUUUUAUUCUUACCAGGGCAACUCCUGCAUCACAGAUAAAUUUAAAUCAAGAGACAAAUUUUAAAGUAUUGAUUUUCAUCCAGAAUACAGUUCAUCCAAAUUAGCUUAAGUCCUUCUCCCUCCCCCUUCUUCUUUUGGGGUGAGAUUCAGAAAAUUAACUUAAAUCUCGUACAGCUCAGUAAAUUUAGGAAGUCAUAAAUCAUAUGUGCACAGAUUUCAGCCACAAAUUGAUGUUCUUGUUUAACCAGGCCAAAUAAAUAUGUAUCACAAAUAGCAACCUUAUCAUUUGCAGGCAAUGCAUCCACAACUGGCCAACAAGCAAUAGCUGCAACAUAUCAUAUGCUGAAUCUAAGGUGAUUAAAAAUUAAAAGACAGAAACACAACAAUUUUUAGAGGGUUUUAGCCCCUACUAGAGACCAUUACUCAACCCACCGAGGCAGGAUUCAGGUAGAGAAAGAAUUUGGAAGUAAUCCUACCCUUCAGCGCUUUUUUAUUAAGAGAUUUUUCUCAAGACUUGAAUUGUUCACCUUUGCAGCCCAAGAUUCUUACUAUUUCACCAGGCAAUUGGCCUUCUAUUUCCUAUUGUCUCAACAAUAUUCAAAACAAAGCCCCUUUUAAACUGUAACCAUACGUCUCAAGCCAUAUUGCUAUUUGUUAUUCAUCCAUUUCAAUUUCAAGAAUUGAGAUAUACCCCAGCAAAAUGAGAAGUGCUAACCGAUUCAAAUUGCUGCCAAAAAAAUCCAAACUCAAAAAUUAAGAUUCUUUAAUCACUAACCUUUUUCCAGUAGUCUCUACUGCUACAUUCACCUCAUCAGCCGCGGAAGGAGGACCGUCAGAACCCAUGCUUAUCCCAAUAACUUGAAUCUGUCAACGCAGAACCCCACCUUGAAAAUUAAAGUAGGCCAAGCACUUAAAAGAAGGAAUAAUUAGAUUUAAAGGAGGAGAAAUCUGAGAGAUUGAAGAGGUAAAAUCAAAGGAUUUGAGAUUGAAAUUAGGGCUAAGACCCGAAAACCUUAAUUUUGCAAUUGUCUCGUCGAUACUGGGUAGAGAUUGCUUUCAUGUGCGUGGCGGGAGAGGAAAGCCCUCAAGAGGGCGCGUGGAAGAACCUGCCUCUUGAUGCAUUGAAUUCAGACUCGUAUGGCCAGCACGUGCUCUCCCGCGGCUUUUGUCCUUUGGUUUCUUUGUUCAUUGCCAAUGUGCAUGCCAUUUGGUUUACAC
rnacentral:misc_RNA from 1 species